ensembl:lincRNA Lncpint long non-protein coding RNA, Trp53 induced transcript
AGCAUUAGGGGAGCCCACGGCUACAAAACAAGUGAGAAGAGGUGGGAGAAAGAGAAACUACGCCACCUCCUCUGCAGCCGAGCGCACGCAGCAGCCUGGCGUGACAAGUGGGCGACGCCAGGGACAGGGAGUGGGGGUCCUCCGCCCGCUCCGGGGACCCUGUCGCCCACCGUGGUGCGCUGAGCAACUUUUAGCCGGCAGCCCCGCACCUGUCUCAGAGUCCCCAUCGCUCCCCACCAACCAUCAUGGGAAAAUUCUAGAAGAAUACGCUCUCGGAAUCUACGUGCGCAUCAUUUUCCUCCUCACUCCAGAGGAAGGAACCAGAAAAGAGAGCAAAGCGGUGUAGUGUUCAGCCUCAAGAACCCCCGUGCAUCCCAGGGAUGGCGCCCUCUACAGGAGGGUCCUUGCCUCACUUUCGGGAGUCUCUUAACUGCAUCUCGUUGAUUCCUAGCGUUAGAAGAACUGAGCUAACAGGAGUCUGCCACCUCUCUGCCUUGCUGAUGCACCCAGGCAGGGCUCACUGGUUUGCAGGAGUACAUGACCACAGAUCAGAGCCAUUGCAGGCUGCACAGAUACCUGACUCUGGGCUCUCAGGAAGACUCAGGCAGAGAUGGGGAGUCGGCCUGCAAGCUGGGACGCUAGAGCUCACGUGCAGUUCUCCAUUUAGCUAGGAGGUUUCCAGGGCAACCACCGAAGCAGUAAUUAAAGAUGAAGAGCUAAAAGGUAAGUACUUCCAAACCUGAAUCCUGAAGGAGGUGGUCGGCAGGCUGGUGUCACAGUGUGCACUCUUAUUCACUUAACAUUAAGUAAAUAAUUUUUUAAAUACAUUUUUAAAAACCUCUGAUGAGAGGAUACACACUAAAUUAGGAUGUUCAUGCUCUGCUUUGAUUUGUAUCUUUUCACACGCGCACACACGCACGUAUUCUUGUACGUACGUACACACCACACAUACACAUUUUUAUGCUUCCACCAGCCAGUCAUGGGACCAGGCAUUGGGAUACCAGGGCUUAAGGUGUCUUUCAGGUUCCUGUUUUGAACGUCCUAGCAUAUAUAUAUAUACAUUUAAGGCAUGCAAACGAGCAACUGCAGAGGCGUCUACAGUACUUAGCGUGUAGCAGGAACAUCCAGGCUCUCCAGGCAGUUCACGGGUGCUUACACAGCCUGACGAGGUGCUCACCGUGCCGCCAUCCGUUCCUUGAGCGAACUGUACCCUGGGUUAUGAACCUUGUUUGCCUGAUAGUUCAGGGCAUCAGUGCAGUAACAGGGCUGAUGAGAGAGAGCUCCACCAAAGCAGCGGCACCAUUGAGAAGGUAGAAGACAGCUAUUUUAACGGAAGCUUCAGAAGCUGACGAGCCUAUUCCCAGGAGUAUGGGUAAAGUUUGCUCAUGCAAAUGCUGCAUUUCAUGAGUCCGUGGGUUAAAGCAGUUACGGACCCUGGAAGAUGGGAGAUACUUACAAAAAGCAAAGCCCAGAUCUCCACACCUUCAAAGAGAAGAUGCUCAAAUCUCCAAUUUUCAGACCAGUGCUUUUUUCAGUUAUGCACUGGUAUAUGGCUGAAACUGUAGGUGGCAUGGGAGACUUUGGUAAGUGUAGGCCCUAGGAUAUCUGUCCCACCAUUUUCCCUGUAACAAAAGUAAGGAAUCUGUAA